ACCAACCUUGAAUUUUCUGGGCAGAUAUGUAGGACCAUAUAAAGGCUCGACAUCCUGAACGGCCUCACCGGCAACCUUUCUCUUUUCGACAGUUUCGGGGUCCUCGAUCCAAAUUUCAUGAUAAGAGGAUGUAGUAGGAAGCAAUUCAUUACUGAUUUGCUUAGAUACAGCAAACAGUUGAUCGUGAAUUGUUUCAUUGUUGGGAGUCGACGAACAAGUGACAUUACGAGCAACAUCACCACAAGCACCAAGAGUAGUAAGGAAAACUUUAACGAUGUUACGAAUGGUAUUACGCAAAUUCUUCUUCAAAACACCAUGCCAUUGGAACGUUUGACGAGUCGUAAUCUUAAGGGUGUGAUUACCCCAUUUCGUAGAAAUAUCAUCC